AAUUUGAAAUUCAUACAAACAUAUG
rnacentral:sRNA from 1 species